rnacentral:rRNA from 1 species
UACGGAGGGUGCAAACGUUGUCCGGAAUCACUGGGCGUAAAGCGCAUGUAGGUGGCUAUAUAAGUGGACGAUUAAAGACCGAUGCUUAACAUCGGACCGGUUGUCUAUACUGUGUGGCUUGAGAGUAACAGGGGUAAGCGGAACUUUAGGUGUAGGAGUGAAAUCCGUAGAUAUCUAAAGGAACACCAAUGGCGAAGGCAGCUUACUGGGUUAUUUCUGACACUGAGAUGCGAAAGCGUGGGGAGCAAACGGG